rnacentral:rRNA from 1 species
AUGCACAUCGUCACUCCUGUUGGUGAGAUGAGGGGAAGGACACAUCAGGUGGUGACAGAAGAAGGCAAGCGCCUCAUGGCUUCACUCAUCAGAACUCUGCACGAUUUCCACAGAGCUGGCAAGUGCCCCGAGAGAUUUUGCGCAUCGGACAUUGCCGUGACAUCUACUGGCAGAGUGAAACACACAAAUACAAGCUUGCUACGAGGGAAGACCGAUGAGCUGGUACUCAGAAACUACGAGGAUGCCUGCGACAUUUUUGAGAAGACAGUGUUCGACGGGUAUGAUUCAGCUCUUAUCCCUGAAGACAUUAAGCAUUUGUUGCAGCUGAUGACAUCUCCUGGUGCAAUCUGUGCGGAGUAUGUCAUAAGCACGCAUACUUCUCUUGUCCCUCUUAGUAAUAGGUACCAGUUCUAUCUUGAUAUGUGCGACCAUAUCACAUCUGUGCUGGAUGGCAAUCCUGAACAAAAUGACAUCCUUAGUUCUGUGCCCUAUGGUGACAAGUGGGUAGAAAAGUUGGAAGCCAAUCUUCUGCUGGAGGAGUCGUUCCACCGCAGCGGACCAUACGACACCGAAGGAUCAGCCAUGGCCUUUCUGAAGUUCUACAGGGACACACUUAUGUGUCGAAUGGAAAGUUUAUGA